GACGAAUGCUGGCUGCGUGCUUAACACAUGCAAGUCGAACGGUGAAGGAGGGCUUGCCCUCCGGAUCAGUGGCGAACGGGUGAGUAACACGUGGGCAACCUGCCCCUCACUCUGGGAUAACGCCGGGAAACCGGCGCUAAUACCGGAUACGACCAGGCGCGACAUCUCGCCUGGUGGAAAGAAUUUCGGUGAGGGAUGGGCCCGCGGCCUAUCAGCUAGUUGGUGGGGGAACGGCCCACCAAGGCGACGACGGGUAGCCGGCCUGAGAGGGCGACCGGCCACACUGGGACUGGGUCACGGCCCAGACUCCUACGGGAGGCAGCAGUGGGGAAUAUUGCGCAAUGGGCGAAAGCCUGACGCAGCGACGCAGCGUGAGGGACGAAGGCCUUCGGGUUGUAAACCUCUUUCAGCGGGGACGAAGCGAAAGUGACGGUACCCGCAGAGGAAGCACCGGCUAACUACGUGCCAGCCGCCGCCGUAAAAC
rnacentral:rRNA from 1 species